rnacentral:rRNA from 1 species
CCCUUAGAUGUUCUGGGCCGCACGCGCGCUACACUGACGAAGUCAGCGAGCAUGUCCUACGCCGACAGGUGCGGGGAAUCUUGUCAAACUUCGUCGUGAUGGGGAUUGAUUAUUGAAAUUCUUGAUCAUCAACGAGGAAUUCCUAGUAAGCGCAAGUCAGCAGCUUGCGUUGAUUACGUCCCUGCCCUUUGUACACACCGCCCGUCGCACCUACCGAUUGAAUGGUCCGGUGAAGCCUCGGGAUUGUGGUUAGUUUCCUUCAUUGGAAGUUAGCCGCGAGAACUUGUCUAAACCUUAUCAUUUAGAGGAAGGUGAAGUCGUAACA